GCUGAAAUCUCACAACUUGGGUUAAGAUGCUCAUAGAAUACAACAAGACUGCAUAGAAACAGCACAGGCUAGUCUUGUUCAGCAUCUCCGAGUUCUUCAUCUUCUGGCACACCUCGGACAUACAAAACGUUGUUGCAUCUG